AACCUGCUGUCGGCAAGCGGAACUCAGUUACAUUCACUCUUGUUUCUUAGACGAACUCUAAAUUCGUCGGAGCAUUAAGUUUACGAUGGAGGUCUCAGGCCACUCACUUGAGGAUUUGUCGUACCAGCCCUGGGUGCCCGUGGAAAUCGCAAGCACUUGUUUUCUGGCCAAAGUUCAUUUUGGAGAAACCUCCUACCAGUUGCUGCUAUCAGACUUAGACUUGGUGUGGCAUGAGCAAUUAAGCACAGAAGCCAUCAGACAGCGGGCACAGGAGCUGAACAGGCGUCUGACAGCCCCAGUAUCGUCCGUCUUCCGUCACCUGCGUAAGGUGGCCCAGCCCAGGCUGGAAGGGGCCGAGCACGGGGCGAGCGAGGCCGUGUUCUCGCACGAGCGCGUCCAAGACAACCUGCACGUGCGUGUGAAAAGUGAGCUUGCAGGAGUGCCCUUCUACUGGGAGUUCCGAUGCACACCAGUCCCCGUCACGGUGGUUUGUGAGCAGCUUGUACGCCCCCUGCUGGCCGUGAGCAGGCUGUUGCACUGCCAGGUGCAGGAGCUGACAGCCCUGCUUCAGAGGAAGGACGCGGAAAUUCAAGAUUACCGGGAGAGUGGGGUCUCGCUGAGCCGAGGUCGCUUGGAAACUGAAGUGUUUGUAGAGCAGCACUACGUGGAGCAUUUCCUUUCUGAGAGGCUGUCGGAAGUCUCCACAAUGCAGAACUGCUAUGGGUUCAACCAGGACAUCCAGAAGCUCUGCACAGCUGUAGCUGCCUGUGGGGCAGGUCACAAGCGCAACAGAUCUGACAGCCAUUCGCAAAACAGUCCCACAAACUCGGGGGAAACUCUGCAUCACGAUGAGAAGUGUUCUGCUGCAGAAAACGCCCAAGACAAAGCAGAGAAAGUUGCUUCUUCGGGAGUAACUGAUGGAUUCCAGCAAGAACAGACUGUAGUCCUAGGCUCCGUAUCUGGGACUGAGAAAAGCGCCGGCUCUCAGCGGACUUCUGUGAAACCAAAGAAGAAGAAAGCCAAGGGACUGUUUGGCUGAACCAGACCUUCCCUGCCUCACUUUUAGUUUUCUUUGACUUCAUCUUCCAGACGUCUUUGCUGGAAAAGCCUUUUGAAUAAAGUAGCGCUUUCUUUAACCACAACGCUGCUAUCUUCGGUACCUGUCUGAAGGGCUUCAGUCAUCUCAGCUGCUCACCUUCCGAAACUGAGCAGCUUUCGGACAAAACAUCAAAUUCAUCCGCUGCGGCUCUUCAUAAUUCAAAACCUUAACGCAAACCAUGGCUCGCAUUACUAAGACACCUUCAGCAAAAUUUGGGAUGGGAUGGCCAGUGACUUGAAAUACUUUCAACAAGAAACCAACAUUGUUCCUGGUACUAAAUUUAAAAUAUAUAUACUGUAUUUCCACAUGGAAGGCAGGCAUCCACUGUACUGCCUAAGGAUUUUUUCCAGCCAAACGCUUCUUGCUGUGUAAUGAGGACCUCUCAGAAGGUCUCAGAAGGUGAUGACCUGUAGACCAUCCAGUGUCCCUCAGACUAUCACCUACCUACUUGUUAGGUGGGACUUACUGACUUCCACUUUUUGAUAAUACACAUUUUUUAGCGCACACAUUUAAUCGGAAAAGCGCCAUCAUAGCAAAAUGGGUUUCCUGCAUAAACCAAGGCUUCCAGGAAACCCAUUUUAUUCUGAAACAUCAAACUGCCACUGUCUUAAAGACGUACAACAUUUAGUGCUGUAGGACCAUUUGUUUGCAGGUAAGUUUGUGUAUUUGUAAUGUCUAAUUUCAAGGGUAAAUUAUCUCAAGUGGCUCUGAAAAGAUGUCAGCUCUAGGAAAACUUAUACAACAUUAGUAUUAUUCAAUUUAUAUUAUAACAUUGUUUAUAAUACACAUCAUGUGUUAAGUCUCCCUAUGCUACUGCAACAACUAGAGGGUAGGAGAAGACAGCACUCUGAGCCUCAUAUCUACUAUCUAAGGCUUACAGUAUGUUUUCUUCCUGACCAGAACUCCAGAACUUGAAUUAGUGGUGGGAGGUAGGUAGAUAUAAAUAAUUAGGUUAAAAUACUUGAGGAACCAGCUGAAAGCAGAUGACCAAAUGUCACAGUACACCAUCAGUCCAGAUCCUACUUUUCUCUCUGUUGCUCUGUUCCAGGUCCAGUCUCAGACUGCUCAGCACUCCCACACAUCUAAUGUGUCACCUAAUCUAAUGUGACUGUGUGGCGGUUGAGGUGUGUCUAAGGUUGCCAUUCAAUCUACUGUAUGAUUCAACCUAUGAUUGUCACCUGCUAUACUGUAUGUGCUACAGGCAGAAAACAAUCAGACACACAAGAGGAAUAAAACCCCCCUCACUUUUGUAACCCUGUGACAAAAGCAUUCAGGAGAGACAGGAAUAAUGCUAAACCACGUGAUCGAUGGAGCGAGUUGAGUGACCAUCACUUCAGUACUUCUAGUUUCCAGAACAGCCGCUAGAUAGCGUAUGAUUAUUGGUUUGGAGCACCUAGAGGCGAUCGCAAGCAUGUUGUUUCAGCUCACUAGUGUUUCCCACCUUCGUAGGCCCUAAAAAUUUAGUAGGCCCUAGGCACUGUGCCAGCACUGGAGAAGUGAAGGUAUGCGUUAAAAAACAUUCACGUGCAAGAACUUAACUUACCAAGAACCUAACUUUUUCCUCACAUGCUUGCCUAGCUGUUGCGUGAUGAGGCUGCCAUUAGUCUGCCUUGAAGUGGCAGACCUUUUUAACUAGCACUUGUCCCCUAUUCCAGAUGCAGUGCAUCAAUCACGGCUCUCAUAUGUAUGUUCAACUAUAUCACCUGUUGAGAAAAAUAAAUGUCCUACUACCUGA